AAGUUGUGGCUAAUAAUAAGAUAAUUGUUUUUUCUAUUUUAUAUGCAUUAUUUUUUGUAGUAGCUACUAAGUUGUUAGGACAGAAAUACUUUUUACUUUGGGUCUAGCUACUUAAUACACAGAACAGUUAGGUAUUUCUUUAGGCCUAGGGUUACUGUGAAAAAAAGCAUUGAGACAUUAAGGGCAUGAUAAACAGACAAGGUUGGAAACUCCCGGGCUAGCUGUCAUGAAAUCUUUCUCAUUUCAAGCACACGACCUUAUAUUGUUGCCUUUUCAUAGACCCAGGGGUGUGUGUUUCUGUGCAUGUGUGGGUAACCUGAAAAGGUCAUCUAGAUUUUGUAACUGGGAGGGUCCCCAACCUACCUGACCAUUAGGAUCACCUGGGGGAACUUUGCAAAAAUCGUUUCCUGGCCUCUACCCAGGGGAUUCUAAUUCAGUGGGUCUGACAUUUGAAUCUGAGUUCAAAGAUCUCCGCUCUAACUCGCAUUCUUCAGGCAUCCAGGAUGGCCCAAAUGGAGCCGGUCUGCCCACAUCUGGGGGUUCUAGUUGUUAUACGUUGUGCCUGGGGCCAGGUUGUGUGGCUUUUUCGAAUCCCCAGACGGGGAAGGGGCGUGGAGCACGUGUCCCUUGGAACCCUGGGGGAGGUCGGUGCUGGAAGCGCUCAUCUCCACCUCCAGUCUGGGUGCGCGGCGUGAGUGACCCGAGAGGAAGACGAUUCCUUCCGUAGGAAGCCCCUGCCAGCAAAGUCACCACCUCCCAGGCCCACUGGACUCGGACCCGAGCGUCCUCCGGGAGGGUUUCUGGGCGUGGCGGCUGAGCGCGGUUCGGGGAGACGCGGCCGCGAGGUGGCAGCAGCGGCCCUCUGGCAGCCACGGUGCGUCCCAGGGGGCGGGGACGCGCCGGCUCCGGGCGGGCGUGGUCCCUCCUGCGGGCGCCUGGGUUGGCCGGGCGGACCCCAGAGAGGGGGAGCCGCGGGGACGCAGCGACAGACUCGGGGUGCUGGCAGCGGCCGCCCACGCCUCCCAGGGGUUGCAGGCCUGGGCGCCGGGGUUGGACCAGUCUUCCGGGCGUUGCACGCCCUGGUUUGGUCUUUAUCCAUGGUUUGUGGCGGGGCAAGACGUUAAGUUGGGUAACACCGAGGUGAGCCGCGGUCCUCGGCACCAGAUGAGGAACCACUGUCUCAAUAAGGUCUCGGUGCUGUGUGUGUAAUGGUUACCAUGAGAGCUUCCCUGCAAUCCAAAUCUGUGUGUCUCAUUCUCAGUGACACCAGUGAUGCUGUUAAACAAGGGCAGUCUGGUUCAUGGAUUUUCACAAUGCAGACUGACAUCAAGGGGACCCUGCUGUCAGCUGAGUGCCAUGAGAGGACAGUGACAACCUUGGAGGCCUCAUGGUGAAGGUGGCAGAACCUUUGUUAGCCUGGGUGCUCAGGGUGGACAGCUGCUCUUGCCAACUGGGAACAUCUGCCUCGAGCGCUUUUAUUAUUAAAAACUCCAAUUUAUGUCUGUGUAACUCAACGUGGGAGCCUGGAACCAUGUUUACUCUUCUGAUGACCCUGAAAGCCUGACUCGAGUGCUACAUGGAUAAAAGAGUGAGGUGAUGGAGCUGGCCUUGGGCAAGCUCAUUCUUCCGGCAUGUGGACAAAUGCCUGACAAGAUGAUUAUAUCAGGAAGUUACAAGAAGGAGAUGGAACAAGCAGUUUAGGCCUGGAUUCUGCUGUGCUCUCGCCAGAUGGGAUAGCCAGGGACUCAGUGAGAGGAGGUGCCAGAAAGGGGCCCUCUGAGCAGAGGAGAAGUUCACCAGAUGGAUUGGCCAGAUGGGUCCUGGAUCCAUUGGGAAGAUGCCUGGGAAAAUCUGAAUUUUCUUGGGGGACUUCUUUGCUUCUAGUUCUCCACCACCAGGCUGGGAGAGGGUCCUGACACCAAAAGUUCAUUUCAGAAUCUGCCUUUCAGCCCUUCCUCCUGGUCAAAGGUGGAACUUAGGUGUAGCUGGGGUGAGUUCCACCAGCAACAACGUGCGGUGAGUUGGGUGACUCAGAGAGAAAGCACCAUGUUACGGAAGCUGCUGACAGGAGGCUCCGAUCACAUCUCUGGGACAGAGAAGCCUUCCUGGAGGAAACAAGGUUUGAGCUGAAACCUGAAGGAUAGAAGAUAAAUAGAUGAAGGAGGGGGAGGAGCGCACAGGCCAGGAGGAAGCCUGCACAAAGGCGUGGCUGACACGUAAGAGAGAUUGGUGGCUGAGGAACUGGAUUGAUUUAGGAGGCAUCAUCAAUCGAUAAGGCUAAGGAACUGAUUCAGUUGUGGGGCUCAUGGAGAGACAGGAAUUGGGAAUCUGCACCCCCUACCCCAACCCUAGUUCCUGGCAUGGCCACCUGUGGGAUGGCAGUGCAUUUACUGAGACAGGGGUGCUGUGGAGGAGCCUAACGGUGGAAGUGAGGUUGGGAGAAGAUAAUGAAUGAUUAUCUUAUCUAUGGUGAUGAAAAUGAGCUCUAAAAGGCAGUUCAGCUGACCCAACUUUGUUAUGAUCUCAGGGUUGAGAACUGAAUUAAAACCCCAGUGUAGACAUGGUGUUAAUUAUUUCAUUGAGGCCACCCAUUAAGGCUGUAAACACUGAGUUUGUUUCCACCCUACUGAGAAAUCGAAAGGACAGAGUGAAGCUUCAACAUGAUUGUCACCAACUGGAAAAAUCAGGCUAAACACGAUGAAAUUUAACAGGGAUAAAUUUAAAUUACACUCCUUAGGUUCGCAAAAUCAGUUGUUUCUGUAAAGGAUGAAAAACCUGACUUAACAGCAGCUCAUGUCAACAGAACCUAAUAGAGUCAGUUGGCUACGAAUUCCACACAAGCUGACGUGGUGAUGUGGCUGCCCCUUUGUAAGGAACAUGGCUGUGCUGUAGCCAAGCAAGGAUAGGCCGAGGUAAACAUCCUGCGUGACUCAGCCAAUUUGUAGUGCAGGAGCAGAGCUCCACUUGUUGUAUAAUCACAGCCAUGUAGCCAUAAUAUGGGAAGGCUCAUCACUUGGCUUGGAGCCACUAUCGUCUGUAAAAGGUGUAAUUGCCCUGCUGACACUGUACAGGCAUGCUCGUGCACAGAGAAAGACAGAGAAAGCCAGAGCUGUCCGUUUUGUAAAUAGACAAGGGGGAGCCAGGACACAGCUUGGCUCGCUUGUGCCCAUAGGGCAAGAGUUAAGCUGUUUACCAUGAAGGGACUGCUGGUUGUGUAGCUGUAUGUGGGAGCCGCUGGAGCAAGCAGCCGAGACAGAGACAGACAGUGUAAGAGAGCUGCUGAAUAAAGUUACAUUUCACCUACUUAUGGCUCGCUAAGUGUUCCUCCUAUCCAUCUGCCAUUCAUCCACCAACUCCCUUCAGACCUCAGCAUUAGCUGGAACCUGACCUUAAACUUAACAACCUUCUUCCACUUCUAAUGCCCCCUUGAUGUACGAGAUAUUGGAGAGGAACCUAUGAAACUUCCUCUGAUAAGGAUAGAGAAGAACCUGUAAGAAAAGUGCAGCAGCCAAGGAGAGAGGCCAGCUCAGAGAGAUGUCUGUAGGGAAGUCAGGGCUGGCUUAUAGGCUUGAGUGUUGGGGAGCUGCAUGCCGUGUGAUUGGAGGGUGUCUAACAAAAUACCUGAAAAAAAAACAAACAGAGGCAAGGGGCAUAAUUCUUAGCUAACCAGGGGGCCUCAGAGAGAGGGAUUUGUUAGGGCUAGGAGAAGAAGGAAGGAUGCACCAAGGAAAUGAUAAAGGAUGAAGCAUUGCAGAAAAACCCGUUGCUAUAUUAAUUCAUGUCAGUCAUGUGUUUGAGCUCUGAUUUUGUGUAUAGCCCUGUGCUGUGGGAAAUGCUAUGAAACAACAGCCACAGAAUCAACAGCGCUGACUGGUAUGGCUCAGAUGACCAGUGCUAUUCAGAGGAUGGUGAGGGGUCACCAGGGAAGAAGCCAUGGAGGAGCUGAAGCUUGAGCAGGCCCUUGAUGGAAGGGGCUGGGGAAGAUGUCACUGCAGGGCAUGAACUGGGCAAGGUGAAGAAAUCAGCUGACUGGAGUCUUCAGAAAUGGGGUGGAAUAGUGUGUGCCCUGUGUUGUUGACGACCCUUGUGUUGUGCUGAUAAUUCAUCACAGAGGUGAGUGCCCAGAGAACAGUGAGGAGGGAAGCCCAGAGGCAAGGUUUUGCGGGGAGAAACCCCAGUGCUUUCUUAUGAGAAACCAAAUGAAUGAGAUAGGGAUGAGCAGGUGAUAUCUAAAUUGUAUACAGUCCCCUUCUUCCUUCUUUUCUUCCUUUCUUUCUUCCCCGGUAUGGUUUGAAUGCAUCCCCCCAGAGUCAUAUGUUAGGUACUCCCCAAGGCAAGUGUUGUGAGGUGGGACCUAUUGGGAAGUGUUUAGGUCAUGAGGGCUCUACCCUCAUGAAUGGAUUAAUGCUGCCAUAUAAAGGGUUUCUGGGAGUGGGCUCUCUCUCUUGUCCUGCCUUCCAUCAUGUGAGGACACAACGUGCAAGGCACCAUCGUGGAAGAACAGAGUAUCUUCAUCAGACAUCAAACCUGCUGAUGCCUUGACCUCAGACUUCCCAGCCUUCAGAACUGUGAGCCAAUAGAUUUCUGUUUACAAAUUACUUAGCCUGUGGUAUUCUGUUAUAGCAGCACAAAAAGAAGCCCCCCACCCCUGACAUUCCUCACUCCCUCCAACCUUUAUUGAGCAAUUGCUGCCUAACUGUAUUGUGCUAAGGGAUGGAGAUACAAAGAUGACUAGAACACAGUUCCUGCUCCCUAAGAGUUCUCAGUCGAGACACACAAGUAAGUAACACAGCUCUUUGAUCUUAAAAUGUACUGUCAAUAUGAUAACAGAUUUUCAGAAGAAAAAAAGUCAGAAACACUACCACAGUCAGUGUCCACAUUAGCAAAAUAUUCUGGUUUCAGAAACACUCAAGUGUGAAAAAACAGGUUUUAAAAUUGAGCAGUGUGAACAGACUAAUCAUUUUCACAAUAGGAGUGGGCCCAUUGACCUAUCAGGACAUGAAAAUGUGGGGAAAAAUGUGUCUUGGAAUUGAUAGUUACAGCGGUGUGAUCAUUGUCACAAUGGGUGGGAACAAAACACCACUGGAACCCACUGGAGGAAGCCCUUAAUGCCGUGUGGGAACACCAGACAAGGCUCCUGGCAGGAGAUAGUGUUGGAAGGCUGCCUUCUAGGCUAACAGUGAUGGUCAAGGGGAGGGUAAAGAGUCCAGAGGAGGUAGGGUUCCAGGCAGAGGGAGCAGCUUUUGCAGAGGAAGGAGACAGAGGCGGGUGUGAUUGAGAGCAGCUCUUUGUUGUCUUUGUUUGUGAUUGUUAUCAGCAGUGGAGCAGAGGGGGGCUUCAGUCUGAAGGGGCCUGGACCAGUCUCAUCACAAAGACAACAGGGAAGGAGACAUGAACACUGCAGGGCAACUGAAUGAAACAUCUUUGCUGAACUUUCCCAUCUCUUGAAAAGUUUUUAUGUAUUCUUAUGUUUACAUAAGUCAUAAACCAAUUGCCUAAUGCAAAAAUGGUGUGUUCUUGAAUAGUAAGAAUAGGCAACAGAUUUUAAUCAAUAGACUCAGAAUUUUUCAUUAAAUCUGCUUGCUUAUUUCCUUAAACCUUUUCUCCAGGGCAAAUGCGCCCUUUAGAAGUAAUUGAUUGUGUUGCUCCCAUUAGUAUCCACACUCCUUAGGCUCUUUCUCUCUCUCUCUUUUCCUCUCUCUGCCUCUCUCUCUCAUCUUCCCAGUUGUUGUCAAGCAGCUGCCCUCAGCUGAAACAUCAGGCAGGCAUCAAGGAGUAUGUUUUUUGUUCAGAUGUGUGCACAUGUAAAGCUGUUUCUGAAUUGCAUCUUUGCAAAAUAACCUUUGGGAAUCGACAUGAUGAGGAUGCCAUUAGCAGGAAUUUCAUCUGCGUGGAUCCCAGGAAGGGGAGAAAGCUACCAUAGUGUGGAAAGAAAGCCUAAUAAAUAAACAGUCUGGAAUGUCCUUCCCAGGAAGGCCUGUUGAAAGAGAUGAACAGUACUGGAUUAGUUAAUUUUCCUGGGUGGUGCCACUUUGUGUUUCUGGGGCAAUACAUGGUCUCUUGGGGCCAAGAAGCACCCCUCUGGUUCUGGUCUUUUCUGCAUUUAUUCAAUAACUAUCUCAACUCACCAUGUGUCCAGGGGAGAGAAUCUCCUGGCUGCUCCCUCUACAGACCCUCUCUGAGUCCCAGGAGGGCCCCAAGUCAUCAGAGCACAGAGAAUCAGGGUGGGUCCAGGUUCUGAUGGAAACUGCACGGGGUGGGAAUCACGUCAGCCUCCUCCUGCUGCUACUGCCACUGAAGCCCCUUCACAGCAUGUUUCCUCUUCUGUGGAAUCAGCUUGUUUACUAUGGUUGACCCUUGAAUGACAUGGGUUUGAACUGCACAGGUCCACUUUUACACAGAUUUUGUUCAACAAACAUAUUGGGAUUUUUUUAGGGGAGGGAAAUGUACCACAAUUUGAAACAACUCACAGAUGAGCCAUGUGGCCUAGAAAUGUCAAAAAAAUUAAGAAAAGCUAUGUCAUGAAUGCAUAAAAUAUGUGUAGAUACUAGUCUCUUUUAUCAUUUACUUCCAUAAAAUACCCCUGAGACAGCAAGACCUCCUUUUCCUCCUCCUCUUCAGGCUACUCAACAUGAAGACUUGAGGAUGGAGACCUUUAUGUUGAUCCACUUCCACUUAAUGAAUAGUAAAUGUGUUUUCUUCUCCUCAUGAUUUUCUUAACAUUUUCUUUUUCUAGCUUACUUUAUUGUAAGAAUACAGUAUAUGAUACAUAUGCCAUACAAAAUAUGUGUUGUUUAUGUUAUCAGUAAGGCUUCCAACCAAUUGUAGGCUAUCAGUUAAGUUUUAAGGGAGUUAAGUUUUGAGGGAGUCAAAAGUUAUAUGUGGAUUUUCAACUGCGUGGAGGCAAGGGGUUGGCACUCCUGGCCCUUGUGUUGGUCAAGGGUCAACUGCAGUUGAUCUCUAAGACUCUGUUUCAGUUCUAUGGCAGUGAAGAUACCCAUUGCUGAAUGUUUAGGCCAUGUGCCAGGCACUUUGCUAAGAGCUUUACAUAUAUGAUCUCAUUUAAUCUUCAUGGCAACUGUGUGAGGUUCAUGCUUUUAUUAUCCCAUUUUACAGAUGAGGAACUGAGGCUUAGAGAUGUUAUGAACUUUGCCCUGGGAAAUACAACUGGGAAGUGGCAGAACUGGAAUGAGUUCGUGUGUCUGAUUCUGUUGCCCACACCACCUUUAAUGCAUUAUCUUAAUGUGCUUGGCCUGCUAUAAUAAAACACCACAGGCUGGGUUACUUACACAACAGACAUUUCUCACCGUUCUAGAGGUUGGGAGGUCCAAGAUCAAGGUCCCAGCAGAAUCUGAUGAGGCCUCUCCUCCUGGUUUGUAGAUGGGUGCCUUCUUGCUCUAUCUUUCCAUAAUGGGGAGUGAAGGUAGGGGAAUCAGUGGGAGAGAGAGAGAGUCUUUUACUCUUCUCAUAAGGAUACUAAUCUCAUGAUGGGAGCUCCACCCUCAGGACUUCAUCUGAACCUUUUGUUUUCUAGAGGCUGCACCUCUUAAUGCCAACACAAAAGGGGGUUAGGACUUCAACAUAGGAAUUGUGGGAGGACACAAACAUUUAAUUCAUCAUAUGCAUUAUGCAAUAUUGCUUCCUUCCACGAUACAGAAAAAGUAUGGGUGGGGAACACUGGGUCACCGUUAGAAGCAUGGUAGGAGGCAUACCCCUCCCUCCCUUGAGAGGCAGUAGUCAAGGGCAGGCUGCUGUGUCUGUGAGCAGGACACAGGGAGCUGUGAAGAGGGCUUCUGUGCACUGCUUAUGAAGCCAGAUACACCUUGGGGACAAGUUACUCCCCAGGUGUAUCUAGGAUUGUUUGUGAAGAUCCAUCUGUUCAUUUCACAGAUAUGUUUUGAACACCUACAUUGUAUUAGGGUCUGCGAAUUCAAUGGUGAAACAAAAAGAUCGCAUUGCAUCCUUAGCAGGGCUUGAUGGAGGGCUGUGAGAGUAUUACUGGGGGGCCAGCCUGGGGCUGGCAGAGAAUGUGGUUGUUAAAGUUUUGUUUAAGGAAGUGAUUUCUGAACUGACCUCUAUAGGAUCUGAAUGCUUUAACCAGACACAGGAGGGAAAGGCAGGAGGAGGGCCAGUGUGGCUGGAGCUGGAGGAGGGUAUGGAGGGCCCGGUUCUCUAGGGUUUUGUCGGUAACUUAAGUAGUUUGCUAUUGCACUUAGAACAAAGGUUUUCAUCAGGAUUUUAAUCAGGAAAGCAAUGUGAACAGAUCUGCACUAAAACGAAGUCCCUCUGGCUGCUGUGUGGAAGAGGCUGCAGUGGGAGUUGGUGGGCUGAUGCCUUAGACCAAACAAGAGCUGGCAGUAGCUGGGCUAGAGUUGGCAGAGUAGAUUGCCACCCUACUGCUAAGGGGUCUGUGGAAUAGGAGCCAGAGGCUCCAUGAACUUGGGUAGAGAAAAAUUAUAGCUUUUUUUUUUUUUUUUUUUUUUUUACUAUCUUCUGUGUGAAAUGUAGCAUUUCCUUCAAUUACAAAUGUGGCAACAAACCAGUCAUAUUAGCUCUAACUGUGAUUUUGUCAUUAAUAGAAUUGCAAAUGUUUUCGUAUCACAUUACAGUUGUUGUAGAUAUCUGGAAAUGUCAUUAACACCCACGACUAUUUUGAAAUCACAGUAGCUCUCAGACUGGCUGCUAGACAGCAUGUGAGCUCAGAAUUCCCCACAGACUCUCCUGCUCUACAUCUGGCCACUUGUGGCAACUUGGUACCUCAACAGGGCAGUCAUCAAGCAGCAGAUCUGAGUGUUUUCCUGUAGGUGACCCAGACUUUCCAGCAUCCCUGAACUGAAUUGUUUGUGGAUGAAUUUGCAGAAGGAGUUGAAUCGUUUUAAUGGUUUGUGAAGUUUUGCAAUCUGAACUGUUCUAACUUGAAUUUUUAACUCUCCGCAGGCAGUGCCACCUUGGGUGGCACAGCUGAGUUGGGAUAUGUCUGAUUGCUGAGUGAACUGUCGGAGUGUGAUAUUUAAAGCAACUUCUUGUGAUUGCUGACAGACUGAACGGUGAUGCAGGUCGUGCACGGUGCGAUAAGCUCUGGGAGAAGCAGAAGUCCUCUCUAUUUUUUUUUCUGGAUUUAUUCUGUAUUUGUGCAAUGUCUGUGAUAUGAAGUGCAGUCUUACGUGCACACUAUGUUACUCACAUGUUGUUCUUGCACUAUUAUUUUCUGAAAAUACCACAUAUCUUAAAAAAAAUACCUUUGUGAGAAACACUGACAAUAUCAGAAAUGAGAAUCAUUAUUUCUAAAAAGUCAUAGGAAAUCAAAUGCAGCACUAGCUAAAUUCCAGGCGGGAUAGGACCCGUGAUCAACUGUGGUAAUCCCACAUCUGUGCAAAGGUUAAAAGAUACUAACAGUACUGAAACCUUGGCUAAUCAUAAAACCUGUCUUAUUUUACUUACUGGUCAUAAAAUUUAACAGAUAUUUGACACUUAAUUAAUACACAAAUGAUUGCCUCCUAUGUAGGUCUAUCAAACAAAUUACUUAGGAAUCAUACACAAAAUAUGAUGCUUCAAAGAAUGUUAGUGGCAUAAAACAUUUUAUUUUAGCUUUAUUUAUUAUUUAUUUUUUACAGACCCAAUUUAUCUUCAGGCUGGGAAAAGAAAAGGAAGGCCUGAUGAAAAGUGUGUAUUUGGCUUUGUUUACAUUAAUGAAGUGAUUGGACAGAAAAAGUCACAAUGACUUUUUUCUUUUGUGAAAAAAAUUAUUGGGAAUGGAAUUUUGAAGUCAGGAAGACUGAAAGAGGACCCACCGUUGUCUAUCUGGAAGAUGUAUCCAAAACGCCCAGGAGUUUUGUGUGUAUGUGUAUGAAGGAAGUUCAAUUAGAAAAAGCUUGCAGCUUGGGCAAUACAGCAAGAUCUCGAUUCUAAAAAUUUUUUUAAAAAUUAGCUGGGUGUGAUGGUGUGGCACCUGUGGUCCCAGCUACUCAGGAGGCUGAGGUAGGAGGAUCCCUUGAGACUGGGAGGUCAAGGCUGCAGGGAGAAAUAAUAGUGUCACUGUACUCUACCUCGACUCUACCUCGGGGGGUGGGCGGUGGGGAAGAAAAGGAAAAGAAAAAGAAAAAAAAGUUCAGAUACUUCAAAAUGAAUUUGGCAUAAAAACCUUUUCUUGAAGCGUUCUUGAAAUUUCUUACCAGAUGCCAAACAGAAAAAGCCUCACAUUACUGGAGAAACUUUAUCUAAAGUCACAUACAGUGGGAAUAUGGAGUAGAUUUGUGAAUAGAAACAGAGGUAAAAACUGGAGGUGAUUAUUUAGUCAGAUGAGGUGCUUCUGUGAAGAAUAAUAGGCAUGUCUUGAAGCAAGUUAUGGAGGAAGUGGCCGCCUCGCCAUUACUCCCACAAGUCACUCUGUGAAACUACAGGUAUC